UUACGGCCACAUCACGUAGAAACUCCGGUCCCAUUACGAUCAUCGAAGUUAAGCAACGUUGUACCUGGUCAAUACCUAGAUUGGUGACCGCUUGGGAAUACCAGGUGGC